GUAGAGGGGUCUGGGAUAUCCCCACUGUGCUGGCCAGUGUAGAGGGGGUGUAGAGGGGGUCUGGGAUAUCCCCCACUGUGCUGCCAGUGUAGAGGGGGUAUAGGGGGUCUGGGAUAUCCCACUGUGCUGCCAGUGUAGAGGGGGUGUAGAGGGGGUCUGGGAUAUCCCCCCACUGUGCUGGCCAGUGUAGAGGUGGUAUAGAGGGUCUGGGAUAUCCCCCACUGUGCUGCCAGUGUAGAGGGGGUGUAGAGGGGGUCUGGGAUACCCCACUGUGCUGCCAGUGUAGAGGGGGUCUGGGAUAUACCCCCCUGUGCUUCCAGUGUAGAGGGGGUCUGGGAUAUCCCCCCUGUGUGCCAGUGUAGAGGGGGUCUGGGAUAUCCCCCACUGUGCUGCCAGUGUAGAGGGGGUGUAGAGGGGGUCUGGGAUAUCCCCACUGUGCUGCCGUGUAGAGGGGGUCUGGGAUAUCCCCCACUGUGUAGAGGGGGUCUGGGAUAUCCCCCACUGUGCUGCCAGUGUAGAGGGGGUCUGGGAUAUCCCCCACUGUGCUGCCAGUGUAGAGGGGGUCUGGGAUAUCCCCCAGCCCUAUCUCAGCUGGAGCUGGGUGCUCUGUCUCUCCCUGGGUUCCCCUGACUAAUCUAUUAACAGUAGGAGAGGAAAGCACACAGGAACACCUGACAACAUCACCCCCCCCCUCUAUCUCUCUCUUUCGUUCUCUUCUCCCCGUCAGUGUGUGAUCCUCCAGUGUCUGGGUACAGAGACAACCAUCACAGUCACAGGGAUGGAAUCUCUGACCACAUAUCAAGUCUGGCAACCCUGAGGGGGAUCUCAUAUCGCAACAACAUCCCUCUCACUUGAAUUUAUACACCAUCUGGCAACCCUCACCAUCUGGCAACCCUCACCAUCUGGCAACCCUCACCAUCUGGCAACCCUCACCAUCUGGCAAGGUCUCAAAAUAUUUCAGCAAUACGCAGCUACAUACAGUAUGUGAUGGUACAUAGAUGGUUGAUGUAGAUUACAUGGAGUGCGUCCCAAAUGGGAACCUAUUCACUACAUAGUGCACCGGCCCUGGUCAAAAGUAGUGCACUAUAAAGGGAAUAGGGAUUCAUCUGUAAUACAUCUGGAUCGUCAAGACAGCGCUGAGUCAUUAUGGACCGGCUCCUCUUAUAACAACAUUCGUCGAUCAGUCAGCCCAUCAGAGGCUGAGAUUAAACUCAUCCCUCAUCUCUCUCUGUCUGUCUCAGACUCCUGACGCUCUACUCUCCUCUCACCUCCACACUGCUGCUGAGGAGCUAGCUCAGGGCAGACAGACAGACAGACAGACAGACAGACAGACAGACAGGCAGAUAGGCAGACAGACAGACAGACAGGCAGACAGACAGACAGACAGAUUUCCUGCAGCGCUAUUGGUCUUUGUGCGAGGUUUUAUUUCUUAACCUUUAUUUAACCUUUAAGAACAAAUUGUUAUUUUACAAUGACGGCCUACCAAAAGGCCUCCUACGGGACGGGGGCCUGGGAUUACAAAAUAAAAAAUAAAUACAAUAUAAAUAUAGGAUGAAACACACAUCACGACAAGAGAGACAGCACAACAUGACAUAAAGAGAGACCUAAGACAACAACACAACAUGGCAGCAACACAACAUGACAACAACAUGGCAGCAACA
rnacentral:lncRNA from 1 species